rnacentral:rRNA from 1 species
CGUGAGAAUCUGGCUUCAGGUUCGGGACAACCACUGGAAACGGUGGCUAAUACCGGAUGUGCCUAAUGGUAAAAGGUUUACCGCCUGAAGAUGAGCUCGCGUCUGAUUAGCUAGUUGGUGUGGUAAGAGCGCACCAAGGCGACGAUCAGUAGCUGGUCUGAGAGGAUGAUCAGCCACACUGGGACUGAGACACGGCCCAGACUCCUACGGGAGGCAGCAGUGGGGAAUUUUCCGCAAUGGGCGAAAGCCUGACGGAGCAAGACCGCGUGAGGGAGGAAGGCUCCUGGGUCGUAAACCUCUUUUCUGUGGGAAUAAGAAAGUGAAGGUACCAUAGGAAUCAGCAUCGGCUAACUCCGUGCCAGCAGCCGCGGUAAUACGGAGGAUGCAAGCGUUAUCCGGAAUGAUUGGGCGUAAAGAGUCCGUAGGUGGUUAUUCAAGUCGAUUGUUAAAGAGCGGGGCUUAACCCCGUAGAAGCAGUGGAAACUGAAUAACUAGAGAGAGGUAGGGGUAGAGGGAAUUCCCGGUGUAGCGGUGAAAUGCGUAGAGAUCGGGAAGAACACCAGUGGCGAAAGCGCUCUACUGGACCUCAUCUGACACUGAGGGACGAAAGCUAGGGGAGCGAAAGGGAUUAGAUAC